rnacentral:rRNA from 1 species
GACGAACGCUGGCGGCGUGCUUAACACAUGCAAGUCGAGCGGCUCGGCGGACGGGUGAGUAAUACCUAGGUAUCUGCCUGGUAGUGGGGGAUAACGUUCGGAAACGGACGCUAUUACCGCUUCCUUUCAGACGAGCCUAGGUCGGAUUAGCUAGUGGGUGAGGUAAUGGCUCACCAAGGCUACGACCCGUAACUGGUCUGAGAGAAUGAUCAGUCACACUGGAACUGAGACACGGCCCAGACUCCUACGGGAGGCAGCAGUGGGGAAUAUUGGACAAUGGGCGAAAGCCUGAGCCAGCCAUGCCGCGUGUGUGAAGAAGGUCUUCGGAUUGUAAAGCACUUUAAGUUGGGAGGCGUUACCGACAGAAUAAGCACCGGCUAACUCUGUGCCAGCAGCCGCGGUAAUUC